rnacentral:rRNA from 1 species
AGGCAUAUGCUCGUCUCUAAGAUUAAGCCAUGCAUGUCUGAGUUCAUACCUAGUUAAAGUGAGACUGCGAAAGGCUCAGUACAUCAGUUAUAGUUUAUUCGAUUGUGAAAUCCACAUGGAUAACCGUGGAAAAUCUAGAGCUAAUACAUGCGAAAAAGAUCUAAAUUAUAUCUUGAUAUAAUUUAGGUUGUGCAUUUAUUAGAUUAGAACCAAUCAAUAUUAUUUUCGGAUAAUAUUGUAGUGGUGAGUCUGGAUAACUGUGCCGAUCGUAUGGCCUAGAGCCGGCGACGUUUCGAUUAAAUUUCUGCCCUAUCAACUUGUUGGUAAGGUAGUGGCCUACCAAGGUUAUUACGGGUAACGGGGAAUCAGGGUUCGAUUCCGGAGAGGGAGCCUGAGAAAUGGCUACCACAUCCAAGGAAGGCAGCAGGCGCGCAAAUUACCCAAUCCAGACACUGGGAGGUGGUGACGAGAAAUACCGGGUCGUGCCCAAAAGGUUUCGACACUGGAAUGGGUGGAAUUUAAGAAUUUCCACGAGUAGCAACUGGAGGGCAAGUCUGGUGCCAGCAGCCGCGGUAAUUCCAGCUCCAGUAGUGUAUCUUAAAGUUGCUGCGGUUAAAACGCUCGUAGUUGGACAAGAGAGCGAUCAGGUGCGGGCGGGGAGUAAGCAUACCCUGUACUAGCUAAGAUAAUUAAGCUAAUAUUAACGUAUUAGUUUAAUUAUCUUAUUGCUAGACAGGCGUACUACUUGUCGACCAUGCUGCCUGAUCGCUUAUUUGAUCGUGAGAAUGUCAUAUGGCCUUAAAUGUGCUGUGUGAUGUGUCUUACGUAGUGUGCCUUGAAUAAAUCAGAGUGCUCAAAGCAAGCUUACGCUUGAAUGUUAAUAGCAUGGAACGAAUGUUUUGUGAAAGCGUAAGUAGUGGAUUUACUUGUAUUUCUGCUAUUUACGCAGCACCAACUCCGAAUCGGAACAUUGGUAGCCGACUUCGGGUGAUGAUUAAGAGGGACAUUUGGGGGCAUUAGUAUUUGGACGCGAGAGGUGAAAUUCUUGGACCGUCCAAGGACUAACAAGUGCGAAAGCAUUUGCCAAGUAUGUUCCCUUUAAUCAAGAACGAAAGUGAGAGGUUCGAAGACGAUCAGAUACCGUCCUAGUUCUCACCGUAAACGAUGCCAACCCGGGAUCAGCUCGGAUGAUAAUUUAUGGAUCCAGGUUGGUCCCCCUGGGAAACCUUGAGUUUUUGGGUUCCGGGGGGAGUAUGGUUGCAAGGCUGAAACUUAAAGGAAUUGACGGAGGGGCACCACCAGGAGUGGAGCCUGCGGCUUAAUUUGACUCAACACGGGAAAACUCACCUGGUCCGGACAUCGAUAGGAUUGACAGACUAAUAGAUCUUUCAUGAUACGGUGGGUGGUGGUGCAUGGCCGUUCUUAGUUCGUGGAGUGAUCUGUCAGGUUUAUUCCGGUAACGAACGAGACCACGAUCUUCAUUUAGGGAUACCCAGGGAGUUAAUCUUUGGCUACAUAUGUAGUCAAUGAAGCACUUCCCCUGGGUUUAGCAUAGAAAUGUGCUACCCCUAUGGAGAGACAGCCGGACUCUAAGCCGGAGGAAGCGUGGCAAUAACAGGUCUGUGAUGCCCUUCGAUGUUCAGGGCCGCACGCGCGCUACAAUGAUAACGACAGCGAGCGUCUGGGCCGAAAGGUCCUGGGAAAUCUUGUAAAUCGUUAUCGUGAUGGGGAUUGAGCAUUGUAAUUAUUGCUCAUGAAAUAGGAAUUCCUUGUAAUAGCAACUCACUAGGUUGCAAUGAAUAAGUCUCUGCCCCUUGUACACACCGCCCGUCGCUACUACCGAGUGAAUGGUGUCAUGAUGUCUUGGGACUGGACGUUGUUGGCGAUGCAAAUCGCGGACGAUGCUAGGAGCAAGCCAAAAUGGCGCAAUUUCGAGGAAGUAAAAGU